rnacentral:lncRNA from 1 species
AUUUUUUGAUGCAGUGAUCAAUCAGCCAGUCGUUUAGUCAAGCAGGUUUCCUUGAACACUCCCUCCAUCUGCAAUUGGCUACAUGCACAGAUACGCCAUUGGUUGAGCUAAUAAUGGAGCAUCAGGAAGGAACACUGCAGCCUUGCAUAUUGAAUAUGAAAGACAUUUACACGUGGCUUUGUGGACAUCAUUGACCCUUCCCACAAGGCUAGGGACCGUCUAUCAAGAGCUGUCUGUGAAAAUUAAAUGAGUCAGCAUCCACUAACUUCCNNNNNNNNNNCUGCUGAGGGAUUCUGGAGGAAAACAGAUGAAAAAACAGGAGCAUUGAAAACGGGACAGGACAUAAAAGGAUUGCGAAUUAAGAUGU